UUGGCAACUGGUGGCUGGGGAGGUCGGAGUGGUUAGCUGUUCGCUAAGACAGUUGACGUACGGCGACGGCGGCCAAACCAAAGAAAACAUCCAAAAUUAGGUGUUUGAUCGGCUAGAAAUGAAAAAAUCAGACUAUAAUUAAGGAAAAUAGAGAAGGAUGAGAGAAGAAGACUCACCGACUAUGGCAAAGGCCAUCAAAUCUCGACUGACGAUGAUGAUUUUUCUUUAUAAAAGUGGGGAUGGAUCUUGAAAUCAAAAAAAAAAAGGUAAUAAAGAGGAAAGUGGAGGUUUUGGGAGGUCAGUCUUGGGCUAAGAUGGCUCAACAGCCACUGGAGAGGAGGAAGGGAGGAAGAGGCGAGGGAGUGCUCGAUGAUGCCGAAAGCAAAGGAGGAGGGGGAGGUUUAAAUAGGGAAGGAUGUGAAAGGAUAAGACCGGUCUAAUACUGGCCAUUCGCCGAUUGCACGGCCUCCAAUGACCAUCAGCCAUUCGCACCA
rnacentral:lncRNA from 1 species